rnacentral:rRNA from 1 species
GGCGGACGGGUGAGUAACGCGUGGGAACGUGCCCUUCUCUAUGGAAUAGCCACUGGAAACGGUGAGUAAUACCAUAUACGCCCUUCGGGGGAAAGAUUUAUCGGAGAAGGAUCGGCCCGCGUUAGAUUAGGUAGUUGGUGGGGUAAUGGCCUACCAAGACUGUGAUCAAUAGCUGAUUUGAGAGGAUGAUCAGCCACAUUGGGACUGAGACACGGCCCAAACUCCUACGGGAGGCAGCAGUGGGGAAUCUUGCACAAUGGAGGAAACUCUGAUGCAGCGAUGCCGCGUGAGUGAAGAAGGCCCUUGGGUUGUAAAGCUCUUUCGUCGGGGAAGAAAAUGACUGUACCCGAAUAAGAAGGUCCGGCUAACUUCGUGCCAGCAGCCGCGGUAAUACGAAGGGACCUAGCGUAGUUCGGAAUUACUGGGCUUAAAGAGUUCGUAGGUGGUUGAAAAAGUUAGUGGUGAAACCCCAGAGCUUAACUCUGGAACUGCCAUUAAAACUUUUCAGCUAGAGUAUGAUAGAGGAAAGCAGGAUUUCUAGUGUAGAGGUGAAAUUCGUAGAUAUUAGAAAGAAUACCAAUUGCGAAGGCAGCUUUCUGGAUCAUUACUGACACUGAGGAACGAAAGCAUGGGUAGCGAAGAGGAUUAGAUACCCUCGUAGUCCAUGCCGU